CCUACGGGUGGCAGCAGUGGGGGAUAUUGCACAAUGGGGGGAACCCUGAUGCAGCGACGCCGCGUGUGGGAAGACGGUCCUCUGGAUUGUAAACCACUGUCCCCAGGGACGAAAAUGACUGUACCUUGGGAGGAAGCUCCGGCUAACUCCGUGCCAGCAGCCCCGGUAAUACGUAGGGAGCGAGCGUUGUCCGUAAUUACUGUGUGUAAAGGGAGCGUAGGCGGGGAUGCAAGUUGAGUGUAAAAACUACCGGCUCAACUGGUAGUCGCACUCAAAACUGCAGCUCUUGAGUGAAGUAGAGGCAGGCGGAAUUCCUAGUGUAGCGGUGAAAUGCGUAGAUAUUAGGAGGAACACCAGUGGCGAAGGCGGCCUGCUGGGCUUUUACUGACGCUGAGGCUCGAAAGUGUGGGGAGCAAACAGGAUUAGAUACCCCGGUAGUC
rnacentral:rRNA from 1 species